AACGCCUGAGUAGGCGUCUUGUUAAAAAAGGAUCGACAGUUCAGUUUCUUAUAUUUUACACUCUCAAUAAUUCUCCACAACCGCAUUGUAAUUUUUGUGUAUUACCAAAAGUACCUAUGAAUACUUAUGAAAAGUGAAAAGUACACUGAAAUUUUCGAAAGUUGCGCAUGUGCACAACGCACUUCAGUGACGUCUUACACUAUAUAAACUUUAGUGAUGAAUUAAAUGCACAAAUUUUAUCCUUUUCUGCAUUUGGGAAUGGUCUAUGGAAAUUAAUUUACACUCUGAAAUUUACACUCAGUUGUACGAACGCUGCAUAGCGCUAUCCAGCGGAUAGUGAUUUUUUCAAGCUUUCUUAAAU